AUACCAGCCCCGCGAGUGGUCGGGACGGUUAUUGGGCCUAAAGCGCCCGUAGCCGGCCCGGUAAGUUCCCGCCGAAAUCCCUGGGCUCAACCCGGGGGCCUGCGGGAAUACUGCCGGGCUAGGGGGCGGGAGAGGCCGGGGGUACUCCCGGGGUAGGGGCGAAAUCCUAUAAUCCCGGGAGGACCACCAGUGGCGAAGGCGCCCGGCUGGAACGCGCCCGACGGUGAGGGGCGAAAGCCGGGGGAGCGAACCGGAUUAGAAACCCUAGUAGUCC
rnacentral:rRNA from 1 species